UACGUAGGGUGCAAGCGUUGUCCGGAAUUAUUGGGCGUAAAGAGCUCGUAGGCGGUUUGUCGCGUCGAAUGUGAAAUCCCGGGGCCCAACCCCGGGCCUGCAUUCGAUACGGGCAGACUAGAGUUCGGUAGGGGGGUCUGGAAUUCCUGGUGUAGCGGUGAAAUGCGCAGAUAUCAGGAGGAACACCGGUGGCGAAGGCGGGACUCUGGGCCGAUACUGACGCUGAGGAGCGAAAGCGUGGGGAGCAAACAGG
rnacentral:rRNA from 1 species